rnacentral:rRNA from 1 species
UACGAAGGGUGUAAGCGUUAAUCGGAAUUACUGGGCGUAAAGGGUGCGUAGGCGGUUCGUUAAGUCUGUCGUGAAAUCCCCGGGCUCAACCUGGGAAUGGCAAUGGAUACUGGCUGGCUAGAGUGUGUCAGAGGAUGGUGGAAUUCCCGGUGUAGCGGUGAAAUGCGUAGAGAUCGGGAGGAACAUCAGUGGCGAAGGCGGCCAUCUGGGACAACACUGACGCUGAAGCACGAAAGCGUGGGGAGCAAACAGG